ACGCGAAGACUUCGCUUCUCCUCCUCGCUAGCUCCUCCUCCUCCCCGGAUGUUCUGCCGCCGCGCCGCCGCAUCCUCGCUGGAUAUCCUCCCCGCGUGGACUGCCGCUGCCGGAGCCUCUGAUUCUUCUUCUUCCCCGCCACCGGAGCCAGUGCUUCUUCCCCGCGUGGACUGCCACUGCAUCCCCGCCGCCGGAGCCGGUGCUUCUUCCCCGCCACCGGAGCCGCCGCGGCCGGUUCCAACCUCGGCACCAUCCGCCAGCACCGACGACGAGGUCCACCGCCGCGACCGGAGCCGACCUCGGCCCCAUCCCCCGCGCGAUGACUCCGGGAUGCUCCUCCUUCCCUUGAUCCGCAACUCCUCACUCCAGCGUGCUCCGUGCCUCCCCGCCGCUGAGACACUCCACCGCGGCCUGCCCCUAACGAAGCUAACUCUGCCGCGCGCUCCUCGCUCCGCUCCUCCCCACCGCCACCACACACCACCGCGCCCUGCCCUCGCCGGCGCCGUGGAUCUGUAUGUCAUGAAGCCUGUCUCCGCUGCUGCACACAGUCGACUCCCCCGUGAAUAUGCCUUUCGGCUGGUAUCACCAUCCCGUCACGGCCCUGUGGUCCUACCUUCCAACGGCACUCUGCCGCGCCUCCAGUGGUGCCGCCGUUGUAAGGGUCAUAGUCUGCCCACACCACGCACUCGGUUCUCACGGACGUGUGCCAUUCUCUCUUUUGCAGGUGAGAGUGCAGAGUGCAGAGUGCUUCAGCUGAAAGUGAGUCUUCCGAUUCCCCUCUUCAGCCCAAUAGUCCUCUAUGUGGAUUAUCUGAAUCUGAAUGUACAUCAUUUUCUUUCACUAUGGCUUGAUUUACACUAUUUGAUCUAGCUAUCAGUUCAAGUGGAUACAAUCCUAUUGUUAUCCUUUCACCACAAUCAGUAGUUUUCUGAGAAGUUAAUUUCUUUGCAUACACUGAUGAACUCUGUAGUAGAUUCUCUGCAGGCUCUUUCUUGCUCAAUUAAUUAUUGCUCACUCUAUAGCAGAUCAACUCUGGAUUUAGACUUAUUUGGCCAAGCACUAUGGCUAAAAUGGCAUGCCAAGCUUGGAACAGAAAGGUCAAGCAAUUUUUCCAACCACGGUGCAGCACGUGGCAAUGGCACUACCACUAAUUUCUAUCAUAUGUAGGAAGAUCCAAGUUGAUGCUAGCACAGGCUUUGGUGAAUCACUGAUGGGUGAGAGACCUGCAGAGUUCCUUGUCCAACAGAGCAAUGGCUGAGUUCUUUCAGUUGUGGGAUGAAAUUCAGAUGGUGCAGCUUCAACCAGGAAUAGCCACGACUCCAUUCGGUGGUAGCUAACAGGUGGGAGCUAUUUGACUUGUGUGGCUAGAAGUAUUCAAGUCAAUUAUCUGCUUGCCUCGGCCUACUUCAAUAGACAACAGAGGAUGCUCUACAUCAUAAUCGUAUGCAAAGACAGCAGCUAAUUGCAUUGUAUCACACGUUCAUUACAAGAUACUUAAAGCAAAAACGGCAAUAUAUUGGUUGGCUGCUUGCACUUGCAAUGAGUAAGAGCAUAGAGGUUCUGGACUUACAAUCUGAGGUUACAAAAAAUGCAGGAAAAAUGUUUAGACUGUCGAAGCAAAUCCAUCAGGAGGACACCAUGGCAUCUGAUGUUGUCUACUAUGCAUCAAAGAGAUUACUGGUUGUUUUUAUUCCUUCUUUUUGGUUGAGAUAAUUUACGUUAAUAUAAUGUUUUCAUAGAAGUGAGCCAAUCUUGAUUUGUUUGGUUAACACGGGUUAUGUGUUGAACGUGUGAUCCAAUAGUAUGGCUUUGUCAUGUUCUCUUAUCAGCUAAUUGUAAGUCCUUAGCAGCUGGAAUGCUAGAUCAUGACUAACAAGUGAAAACGAUCAGUGAUAGUUUUAUGCGUGAUAGUUUUAUGCUGGUGCAGACAUGCAAUGCCAAAUAAAACAUGGAUAAUUCCUUC